GACGAACGCUGGCGGCGUGCUUAACACAUGCAAGUCGAACGGGGUAAUAUAAGUAGCAAUACGAGUAUUACCUAGUGGCGGACGGGUGAGUAACGCGUGAGCAAUCUGUCCUUCUGAGGGGGAUAACAUCUGGAAACAGAUGCUAAUACCGCAUGAGACCACAGCAUCGCAUGGUGCAGGGGUCAAAGGAGAAAUCCGCAGGAGGGUGAGCUCGCGUCCCAUUAGCUAGUUGGUGGGGUAGAAGCUCACCAAGGCGACGAUGGGUAGCCGAUCUGAGGGGAUGAACGGCCACACUGGAACUGAGAAACGGUCCAGACUCCUACGGGAGGCAGCAGUGGGGAAUAUUGGGCAAUGGGCGAAAGCCUGACCCAGCAACGCCGCGUGAGGGAAGAAGGCCUUCGGGUCGUAAACCUUUGUCGCAGGGGACGAGAAGAAGACGGUACCCUGUGAGGAAGCUCCGGCUAACUACGUGCCAGCCGCCGCCGUAA
rnacentral:rRNA from 1 species